rnacentral:rRNA from 1 species
CCUACGGGCGGCAGCAGUGAGGAAUAUUGGUCAAUGGGCGCGAGCCUGAACCAGCCAAGUAGCGUGAAGGAUGACUGCCCUACGGGUUGUAAACUUCUUUUAUAAAGGAAUAAAGUGAGGCACGUGUGCCUUCUUGUAUGUAUUUUAUGAAUAAGGAUCGGGCAAAUCCGUGGCCGCAGGCGUGGUAAUACGGAGGAUCCGAGUUUUAUCCGGAUUUAUUGGGGUUGAAGGGCGCGUAGAUGGGGUGGUAAGUUAGUUGUGAAAGUUUGCGGCUUAACCGUAAAAUUGCAAUUGAGACUGGCAGCCUUGAGUACAGUUGAGGUAGGCGGAAUGCGUGGUGUAGCGGUGAAAUGCUUAGAUAUCACGAAGAACUCCGAUAGCGAAGGCAGCCUACUAAACUGCCACUGACAUUGAUGCUCGAAAGUGUGGGUAUCAAACAGGAUUAGAUACCCCAGUAGUC